rnacentral:rRNA from 1 species
AUGAAAAUUGGCAACAAUGCUUAUAAACUCCAAUUUCCAUCACAUGUCGAAAUGCAUCCCAUCUUUCAUGUAAGUCAACUAAAGAAGCAUCUGGGUCGCAAGUCUAUUCCUAGUCCAGAUCUUCCAAUGGUCAAUGAAGAUGGCACAAUCAAAAUUGAACUAGCAAUGGUCUUGGAAGUCAGCAAGUUACUAGAAAGAAUAUGCCAGUAG